AGAGCUGACUGCCAGCAGGGAAGGGUCUCUUCUGGAGAUCCACUCCACUGGAGUUUCUCAAGUGAGCUUAGGAUACAGGAGCAAGACUGUCCCUUUCGUUCCACUGCCACCAAGAAGAGAUGUGCCUCGUGAGAAACCUUCCUGUGAAAAAUUCAAGACCACAGGGAUCUGGGCUCUGUGAACCUAAUUACUGAAUAAUCCAGCCUACAGUAAGAGGGAAAAUGUUCAGAAGUUUGGGGAGAAGCUUGCAAAUGUAGCUCCUAUCUGUUGGCCUGCUGUUUUUUGCUUUUUUAAGGCGUUUUUUUUUUUAAGGUAUGCUUUUUUGUGGUCUCACAAUGUUUAAAUAAAUUUAAGAAUACGAGGAAGGAAGUCUGAUUUUCUUUUAUUUUGGAAUUACUG